rnacentral:rRNA from 1 species
AGUGAACGCUGGCGGUAGGCCUAACACAUGCAAGUCGAACGGCAGCACAGUAAGAGCUUGCUCUUACGGGUGGCGAGUGGCGGACGGGUGCGGAAUACAUCGGAAUCUACUUUUUCGUGGGGGAUAACGUAGGGAAACUUACGCUAAUACCGCAUACGACCUACGGUUGAAAGCAGGGGAUCUUCGGACCUUGCGCGAUUGAAUGAGCCGAUGUCGGAUUAGCUAGUUGGCGGGGUAAAGGCCCACCAAGGCGACGAUCCGUAGCUGGUCUGAGAGGAUGAUCAGCCACACUGGGACUGAGACACGGUCCAGACUCCUACGGGAGGCAGCAGUGGGGAAUAUUGGACAAUGGGCGCAAGCCUGAUCCAGCCAUACCGCGUGGGUGAAGAAGGCCUUCGGGUUGUAAAGCCCUUUUGUUGGGAAAGAAAAGCAGCAGGUUAAUACCCCGCUGUUCUGACGGUACCCAAAGAAUAAGCACCGGCUAACUUCGUG